UUUUUUUUUUAGUAUAAUUGCUAUAGAGUGUUGUGUUACAGACUGAGAACUGUCUUGGCAAGACAGCUUCUUUUUACUCUAGUUUUGUUCCUUGCACCCCCAACUCCCUUGCAGACAGAGACACACACCAGAAAGCACUGCCUUGACAGGGAGCGCUGCUGCCUGGGGUCUGCACUGGCAACAAUGCAAAGGAGGCUGGUCACACGUGUGGCCCAGGGACCAAGUGCAGUAACAGGGGCCGUCUGUCUCCCAUAAAGGGCCCCCGAACAAUGGUUCUGCCCUCCAAGCCUGAGACUUUGCUUUCUGUUUCCUUUGGGAAAGGAAACUCUGGGAAUUCCCAUUCCUGAGUUUGCAGAAAACAUCUCUGUUAAAAGCCCAGCCAGGAGGGAGCAGAGUCCAAGGGCGGAUCAGCAGCUGGCUUUCUCCCAGAUAAUCACAGCUCCUGGGACCUGAAGACAGCAUGUGCACUUGCUGUUUUUACAUUUGGAAAGGCUUGAGUCUGGACUGCCUUUCCUGGGAGGCAGGGGUAGGGCACCUGACAAAAAUAUCCCACUGCUGCCUUGCAGCUGUGGGCACCUGGAUCCUGCCCACAUGGGCACAUUGUGUAUUGCUAGCUUCUCCACAAUCACCCGAUCUGACAGGGUAAGCCUUGUGCUUUAUUUCCCUAGGACUAACGGGCCAGGUGUGUCCUUGGUGAACCAAUGGCUUUAUUUUAACAGUGGGAAGGUCUUUAAUCCAUCUUCUGGUAAACAUUCUCAGCUGGUAGCAAAUGGUUAUCACCACAGGAAAAACAAGCUUUUUUUUUUUUUUUUUAAUUCCUUCUGCUCAUUUGCUCUGGGCAAAUUACCCUGUUUUUCCUGAGUUCAGAUCUUUUGCAAUCAUGUUGAUUUUAUCUUGUGUUUAUUAUUUUCCCUGGUUCCUGAGGUCUGACCUGGGAAGACCGUCCUGAUCUAGGAGAGGACGCUCAUCACCGCAAUCUUCACUUUACCUUUGGAUACAUUUUUCUACCUGAGAUACUAGUGAGUGAAGCAAGGUAUGACAAACUCUCUAAAAGCUCUAUGGAGAGAGGUACAUGGAACUCCCACAUAAACCAGCAAGAAACCGCAGAGCCUAGGAGAAAGUCUGAAAUUGUGGGGUCCUAGUGAGCUGGAUUAGCAUCUUUUCAAAUUGCCUCUGAAAAGCAAGUAUUGUUGAUAGAAAACUGUAAUCCUCAAAUGGUUGUAGAAGUGUACAGGCAUACUUCGUUUUAUUGUUCUUUGCAAACAUUGCAUUUUUUAAAAAUUGAAGGUUUGUGGCAACCUUGCAUUGAAUAAGUCUAUUGGUGCCAUUUUUCCAAUAGCCUUUGCUCACUUCACAUCUCUGUGUCACAUUUUGGUAAUUCUCACUACAGACAAAAAAAUGUCGCAUGUUGCCAGCCAUUUCUGUAAACAAGAAAUGUUGCCUGCUAUCAAGCCAUCAGUCACUGCAGCUGCUCCAAGGGUGUACCCCAAGGGGAAUUCAGAAUAGAGAAAAACAGGAUACUGGCCCUCCAUAAUUAAGAUGCAUAUCUAAGGAGUAAUUUUAAUGACCCAGACUCUUGUAUCUUCGUACACAAAAGGCAGUAAAAUCAUUAACUUGAGAUGUCUGUUUUUUUGUGAUUAGCAUUAAUCUUUUGAUGUUUGACUACAUGUUUUUUUGUUCUGUUUUUAAGCGAAAACUCCAUAUCUUGUUUCCUCCCUUACCUCUUUGGAACAGUUCUUCAGAGCUGUCUAACAGGCUCUCCCAUGGGCGUUGGUCCUCAUGCUCUGGAACCAAAUAUGCAGUAUCUGAGGACACUGAUUCUGAAUGGAUGUGGAGUGAGGAGAAAAAGAGGGAGCCCCUUGCUCCUCCAGGAGAUGUGAAUCAGCUGUCCAACAUGCCUAAGACACUAGUUCAUGUCCCGGAAGGUACCCAGUUUGCCUGGAAGAAUGGAUCCACGUUUCGCAGGUAAAUCUCUGACUUGGGGUAAAGCCACCCUGGCUGGUGUGUCGAGUGUAGGACUGGCUGGCUAAGAAGCCCUUCUUGGCAGGAUGGCACCACGGGACGUGAAAGACUGUGAUGAAAGCCCUGACUGUUCACUUCAGUUCAUUUCAAAGGCUACAGGGUGUUCAGACUUCUUGUCCCUGUGACGUUUGCAACGACUAAUGUAAGGUUUAAAGUGCCCAACACACCUCUUAGAGGAGA